rnacentral:rRNA from 1 species
AUAUCAAUAAGCGGAGGAAAAGAAACUAACAAGGAUUCCCCUAGUAACUGCGAGUGAAGCGGGAAAAGCUCAAAUUUGAAAUCUGUCAGUCUUUGACUGUCAUCCGAGUUGUAAUCUAGAGAAGCAUCUAUCCGCGCUGGACCGUGUACAAGUCUCCUGGAAUGGAGCGUCAUAGAGGGUGAGAAUCCCGUCUUUGACACGGACUCACCAGGGCUUCUGUGGAUGCUGCUCUCGAAGAGUCGAGUUGUUUGGGAAUGCAGCUCAAAAUGGGUGGUGAAACUCCAUCUAAAGCUAAAUAUUGGCGAGAGACCGAUAGCGAACAAGUACCGUGAGGGAAAGAUGAAAAGCACUUUGGAAAGAGAGUUAAACAGUAC